ensembl:snoRNA
AUCAUUUUGUAGUUCAUAAGUGUGAUGAUUGGGUUGCCACGCGAGAGCGUGAGAUGUGCCACCCACAAACCUUGUUAUGACGUCGGCACAUUACCCGUCUGACA